UAAUACGUAGGGAGCAAGCGUUGUCCGGAAUCAUUGGGCGUAAAGAGCGUGUAGGCGGCCCGGUAAGUCGGUUGUGAAAGUCAAGGGCUCAACCCUUGAAAGCCGACCGAUACUGCCGGGCUAGAAUCCGGAAGAGGCGAGUGGAAUUCCUGGUGUAGCGGUGAAAUGCGCAGAUAUCAGGAGGAACACCAAUGGCGAAGGCAGCUCGCUGGGACGGUAUUGACGCUGAGACGCGAAAGCGUGGGGAGCAAACAGGAUUAGAUACCCUGGUAGUCCACGCCGUAAACGAUGGGCACUAGGUGUGGGAGGUGUCGACUCCUUCCGUGCCGAAGCUAACGCAUUAAGUGCCCCGCCUGGGGAGUACGGCCGCAAGGCUA
rnacentral:rRNA from 1 species